CAUGGCCCUAGAAGCAUUGCAGGUGUGGCUGCUCUGUCACGUGUCAGUAGGUCGCAGAGGGGAGAGAGGCUAUGCCUACACUUAGUGUUCUGACCUGUGAACAUCUGAAUGAUUAGUAACCUGACAUU